GAGUUUUGGUGCUUGCAGCUCAUAUACUAAAACUAGAACAACACAAAAAAGAUUAGCAUGGCCCCUAUAUAAGAAUAAUACAAAUUCAUGAAGAAUUCUAUAUAAAU